UCCAGGAAAGAAGAGCUGAUGUUCUUCCUGUGGGCACCAGAACAAGCACCUCUGAAAAGUAAAAUGAUCUAUGCAAGCUCGAAGGAUGCCAUCAAGAAGAAGUUCCCAGGUAUAAAGCAUGAGUAUCAAGCAAAUGGGCCAGAAGACCUCAAUCGGAACUGUAUUGCUGAAAAGCUAGGUGGCUCCUUAAUUGUAGCCUUU